UCUCAAGCAUUGAGGCAUUCAUUCAUCACAGGCAAGUGACCAAAGAUGCUGAUUUUAUGAUCCCAGAAAUGCUGUUGAGCUAGAUACAUGUACAUUAUGAUCUCAAUUUAUUUUUAGCUCUCUAAUCAUUGGGCAUUUCUCUGUCUUUAUCUCUCUGUGAUUGCCUAAGAGGAUUGACACAGUGUUAUUGGCGUGGAUGAAAUGCGAAGAAGAUGAUGUUUGGUCUGAAGACCUUCCUACAUGGCGGUUCUUUCAGUGGGAUGGCUUCUGUUUCUAUUGGUUUCAUCCAGGGCUAUGACGCAACCAAUCAGUGCUUUACAUGCUUAGAAGGCAACCAAAAGAAGGCUUUUGCACUGGCGAUGAGAGGUUGCAGUGUUGCAGUUAAUGUUCAAAUUGG